UCGUGACUCGAAGUUAAUCAGUGCAGCUGAGUGCGACCAGUGUUGAUAGUUCAUGAUAGCUCGAGUAGUUUUGGAUGAUUUGGACCACUUGGACUUUGGAAAUCUGUACACACCACACGAAAUUGGUUUGAUUUCGUAACAGUACAUAUACCUAUAUGUGUUAAUUUUUUUUUAUUUUUCGUUGGUACGUGAAAAAUAAGUAUGUUAUCGUUUUUUCGUAAAUUGUCGUUAUCGGACAAAGUUAAGGAAGGCAUACUGCCGUACGGAGUUAUGGCCACCCCAGAAGAUCUUUUGAAAGCUAAAAACCAGAGCAGUUUGUUAUUGAAAGAUGAAAAUGAGCUGAGGGAAACUAUUUAUGAUUUGCUCCGAACAAUAAAAGACCCCGAAAAACCCCAAACCCUUGAAGAACUGGAUGUUGUGUAUGAGGAUUGCGUCUACAUAAAUAAACCGACAACAAAAGGUGUCUCAGUGAUUCGAAUUGAGUUUAACCCAACAGUACCACACUGUUCCUUAGCUACGCUCAUCGGUCUCUGUAUCCGUGUUAAAUUAGAACGUCACUUAAUCGCUUCGUUCAAACUGGAUAUCUAUAUCAAGGAAGGGGCUCAUGCAACAGAAGAUGAAAUUAACAAACAAAUAAACGACAAAGAACGAAUCGCCGCUGCAAUGGAAAACCCUAACUUGAGAGAUCUUGUUGAGAAGUGUAUUCAAGAGGAAGAAUGACCUGAUUAAAUUAUAUCGAUUUUACAUACCUGACUGGCUUUGCAUUUGGAAUGUCUUCCGCAUAUAUGCUGGGAUGAUUGUUGGGGAUCUUUUGGUGUGUUUGAAAAUUCGAUGUUCAUCUCACAAAAAUAGUUAAUUCCUUCGAUUGGUGAGACAACUAUUUCUUCAUUCAAAUCUUUCCAGGUAUAUUCUGGUGGUCCCAGAGACGUAUCGUGUUGUCCAUAGAUGACGUUGCACAGAUUUGGAGGGACUCUGAAGCUGCUAUGUCGACUAUCAAAUCUGUAUGAUCUUUCGUCGAAUGAUGAUCUACUCGAACUAACAGAUAAUUUAAUGUAAAGUCAUUUGUGCAGUUUGAACAAUGACAAUCAGGUACCUGAUUCCACCAUGUCGUACAUGAAUAAUUGAUGCAUUGGAGUCAGAGGACUGCUACUGGCCAUGCAAAUUACUGAUCUGUAAAAAUAUUACACAUACAUGUGUGUAAUUUUCAGAACUUUUUAUAUAAAAAGAAUAAUUUUUUUCUGGCCUCUAAUCAGAGGUUUUUUGUCAAAUUUAAAGUACAAGCAGUCAAGGCACGACUCACCCCAUGCUAACAACGUGCGUUAUCGGAACUGUAUAAUAAACCGAGUGUGCCAAGGCUAAUGGAACUUCCAAGUCAGGAAAUACUCGCCAAACUUUAACACUUUUGUCCGCUCCCACAGAUACAACAAGCCGUGAUAUGGUCGAUGACCAUAUUUUUGCUACUGGUCCAUUGUGAGCCUACGAUAUGAAAAUAUAAUUAUCAAAACGAA
rnacentral:misc_RNA from 1 species